AGCAGCCGCGGUAAUUCCAGCUCCAAUAGCGUAUAUUAAAGUUGUUGCAGUUAAAAAGCUCGUAGUUGAAUUUCGGGAUCAAAUUGUUGGUCGUGCUUCGGUACGCACUGGCAUUAUUGGUUCCUACCUUCUGAAGAACCGCGAUGUCAUUAAUUUGGUGUCGUGGGGAAUCAGGACUGUUACUUUGAAAAAUUAGAGUGUUUAAAGCAGGCUUACGCUUGAAUACAUUAGCAUGGAAUAAUGAAAUAGGACGUUUGAUUCUAUUUUGUUGGUUUCUAGGAUCGACGUAAUGAUUAAUAGGGAUAGUUGGGGGCAUUAGUAUUCAAUUGUCAGAGGUGAAAUUCUUGGAUUUAUUGAAGACUAACUACUGCGAAAGCAUUUGCCAAGGAUGUUUUCAUUAAUCAAGAACGAAAGUUAGGGGAUCGAAGACGAUCAGAUACCGUCGUAGUCUUAACCAUAAACUAUGCCGACUAGGGAUCGGAUGAUGUAAUUUUUUAAUGACUCAUUCGGCGCCUUACG
rnacentral:rRNA from 1 species